AUGAACGCUGGCGGCGUGCCUAAUACAUGCAAGUCGAGCGAACAGACGAGGAGCUUGUUCCUCUGACGUUAGCGGCGGACGGGUGAGUAACACGUGGAUAACCUACCUAUAAGACUGGGAUAACUUCGGGAAACCGGAGCUAAUACCGGAUAAUAUAUUGAACCGCAUGGUUCAAUAGUGAAAGACGGUUUUGCUGUCACUUAUAGAUGGAUCCGCGCCGCAUUAGCUAGUUGGUAAGGUAACGGCUUACCAAGGCGACGAUGCGUAGCCGACCUGAGAGGGUGAUCGGCCACACUGGAACUGAGACACGGUCCAGACUCCUACGGGAGGCAGCAGUAGGGAAUCUUCCGCAAUGGGCGAAAGCCUGACGGAGCAACGCCGCGUGAGUGAUGAAGGUCUUCGGAUCGUAAAACUCUGUUAUUAGGGAAGAACAAAUGUGUAAGUAACUAUGCACGUCUUGACGGUACCUAAUCAGAAAGCCACGGCUAACUACGUG
rnacentral:rRNA from 1 species